rnacentral:rRNA from 1 species
GAGCGCAACCCUUGUCCUUAGUUACCAGCACGUUAUGGUGGGCGACUCUAAGGAGACUGCCGGUGCAAACCGGAGGAAAGGUGGGGAGUGACGUCAAGUCAUCAUGGCCCUUACGGCCUGGGCUACACACGUGCUACAAUGGUCGGUACAAAGGGUUGCCAAGCCGCGAGGUGGAGCUAAUCCCAUAAAACCGAUCGUAGUCCGGAUCGCAGUCUGCAACUCGACUGCGUGAAGUCGGAAUCGCUAGUAAUCGUGAAUCAGAAUGUCACGGUGAAUACGUUCCCGGGCCUU